UACGGGGGGGGCAAGCGUUGUUCGGAAUUACUGGGCGUAAAGGGCUUGUAGGUGGCCAACUAAGUCAGACGUGAAAUCCCUCGGCUUAACCGGGGAACUGCGUCUGAUACUGGAUGGCUGGAGUGUGGGAGAGGGAUGCGGAAUUCCAGGUGUAGCGGUGAAAUGCGUAGAUAUCAGGAGGAACACCGGUGGCGAAGGCGGCUAUCUGGACAGAGUCUGACGCUGAGGCGCGAAAGCUAGGGGAGCAAACAGG
rnacentral:rRNA from 1 species